GAGGCCCCUGUGGUUGGAGCACUGGCCCUGAGAGGGAGAGGAGUCCAAGGCUACAGUGGGAGAGAGUCCCAGGGAGCCUGGGGCAGAGACUGCUGGGAGAACAGCUGAGCUGCAGCCAGAGCAGGGAGAAGAAGACCAACAGGAGAAAGGCAAUGAAGAGGUGGAAGAUGGAGCAUUUCCGGCGGAGGCCUCCAGGAAGCAACCUGGCCCUGAGUAGUUUUUUCCCAAUCUUUCAAGGCCAAAGACCCACGUCAUGUCACACCCAUCACUGCCCCACCAAGCUCCCUGCUGUGUUCCCAGGGUACCCUGCACUUCCAUCCUUACAGCGCUCACGUUAGACGGGCUGCAUGAUCCUACUCGCAGAACAUGUCAUAUUUUUAUCUGUGGCCUCAGGCCCAGUCAAACAGCAAAGAGCUUGUCAAUCGUGUUAGGGGAAAGGUCAACGCAGCCCAAGCAUGCUAUAAGGCACACACUGGAGCCACAUCCAUGCCUACCUUUCUCUAAAGACACAGCUGCAAACCUGGAAGCCAGCAGCCCUGAAGCCAGGCCCAGGUCCCUCAUGCAGCUGAGAGGUUGCCCAGUAGGACUCCCUUCACAGGACUUCUGACUUACCCCCCAUUGUCCUGUGGUGAUGGUUUCCACUGUGGAGCAGUAGAGCCCAGACCUGCAAAUGGCCUGACAGGCCUGGGACCUUUAUAGAUUCUUUCUUGCACUCUGGGCUCCUUCUGGGAGCAGGACUGAGAUUUAUAUGAUGAGCAAUGGGCAAUAGACCUCCUUUGGGGGAAUAAACAAUGACCAUUAUCCAGGU
rnacentral:lncRNA from 1 species